rnacentral:rRNA from 1 species
GACGAACGCUGGCGGCGUGCUUAACACAUGCAAGUCGAACGGAAAGGCCCUGAUCUUGCUGGUUGUUCGAGUGGCGAACGGGUGAGUAUCACGCGAGUAACCUCUCCUUCCCUUUGCGAUAACUCCAGGUAACUGGGGCUAUUAUCCGAUAUGUGCUCCUGCUGCUUCGUGGGGGUUGUAGAGUUUCGGCGGUUGGGGAUGGACUCGCGGCUUAUCCGAUUGUUGGUGAGGUAGUGGAUUUCCAAGACUUUGACGGGUAGCCGGCCUGAGAGGGUGACCGGGCACAUUGGGACAGAGAUACGGCAGAGAGUCGUGCGGGAGACAGCAGUGGGGAAGAAUGCACGAUGGGCGGAAGCCUGGUGCAGCAUCGCCGCGUGCGGGAUGACAGCCUUCGGGUUGUGAGCCGCUUUCGCGUGUCACGAGGCGUGAGUGACGGUAAUGGGUAAAGAAGCACCGGCUAACUACGUG